GGGGGGAUAACUCAGUGGUAGAGCGUUCGACUGCAGAUCGAGGGACCCCCGGUUCAAACCCGGGUGCCCCCU
rnacentral:tRNA from 1 species